rnacentral:lncRNA from 10 species
AAAAAAAAUAAAGGCUUAGUGAACUGUCAUAACCCUGUGUGGUGCUGAAAAUAAAAAACUAUAUUACAUUUUCAAGCUAGCUCUCCUCAAGUUUUAAUAAGUGGUAAAACUAGUUGGGCAUGGGGGCUCAUGCCUGUCAUCCCAGCACUUUGGGAGGCCAAGGCACGAGCCACAAUGCCCAGCCAACUGUUUCAUUUUAAAAGAUACAUGGGGAGGAAGAUUUGUAGUUUAAGCUAAACGGGAGAGAAAAGCCACUUUGAUAUAUACAUAUGAAGCACAGAUUGCCAGUGCUUGCUAAGGUGUAUCCCACAAAGUAUUGGCUGCCUUUUCAUAUUUACGCCUGUUCAGCCCAAGCAGUGAGUGUGGAAAAGUGAGUAUUAAACAUCAGAGAAUUCUGAAUAAUGGCAGUAAAUGUAAAUACACUAAUUUAACAUCUUCGACUUAUCUCGAAAACCUUGCCAAACCAGUAAUGCACAUUCUCCUGAAGAUGGGAAGAGAGAAUGCCCACAACUCUUCCUGUCACUGACUGAAUGGGCCCUCCUGUUACUCUGAGAGACUCUUCUCAGAGAAAAGCAGACUUCGCAGGGUGCGGU